GGAGAUCAAAGACCUUUCCAGAGAUUCAGGCAGGGGCCCAAACCAAGGGCAUUUCCAGGCGGGCACUGGGACCAGCCCCAGGGACACGCCAACGCACUGCUGGGGCCAAGGGGAAAGGUUGGUUUCAAAACCACAUGUGCGGCAGCCUCACCACUGAGUCAUGCUUGUGAGGCCUGCUGGAGACCAAAGACAGGGGCUACAAGCUCAAAACCGCCUGGUUAGUGCUGACUCUAUUGAUUUCCUGGCCUUCCACUUCCAAACCUUCCUUGGAUGGCUAAACUCCUUCUGGAAGACACACCUGUUUUUUAUAUUUGCCUGGUAUACCUCACUUCUUUGAGUGACAGCACCCCAGAGAUCCCCUUCUCCACUCUCACUCUUUGUAGUUAAGGUACUGCCAACAAGAAGGCCCAAUCAAGAUCCUCCCACAACAAGAGCAGAUUGUGAGCGUGGCAAGCUCUAUGCUGAGCACUGGAAGGACAAAGAGAGAUUGGGCACAGACUUCUCACUGAUCCAGGUGAUGAAGAGCUCACAUCUGAGAGGAUGUGACCAUGGAUGACCCACCAGAAUGUCAUGGGAUCCAGCUACAGCCAAGGAAGCACAGAGCACCGUGGGAGCGAUUUAUUGUGCUUGGGGAUGGGGAAGGGGACAUGGGAGGAGCCAUAUUGAGAAAGUAGCAUGGGUACUUGGCUUCACAGAGUGUGGCAGCUUUCAUCAGGAAGUGAUGGUGGGGGAACAGCGUCUCUGGCGGAGGGAAGCAGCAGGUGCAGAGGUGCAGAGGUGUGAGGAGUCUGUCACAUUCUGGGAAGGGAGUAUGGUUGGGUGACAAUGCAAGACAGAGAAAGCAAGGAGGGAAGGAGGGGCCUAGCCUGAGGAAUAAAGAAUAAUAAAAGCAGGA
rnacentral:lncRNA from 10 species